rnacentral:tRNA from 1 species
GGAGCUGUGGCACAGUGGUUGGGGCUGCCGCCUGCAGUGCUGGCAUCCCAUGUGGGCACCAGGUUCGAGUCCUGGCUACUCCA